rnacentral:snRNA from 1 species
AUCGCUUCUCAGCCUUUUGGCUAAGAUCAAGUGUAUUAUCUGACUGUCUUCAGGGCUUUGCUCUCAGGGUAGGUUAAUGCACAGGAAGUAUUCACAAAUGUGGAGCUUACCCACUUGAGUAAGCCCCACACACGCUUG